CCUACGGGUGGCAGCAGUGAGGAAUAUUGGUCAAUGGCCGGAAGGCUGAACCAGCCAAGCCGCGUGCAGGACGAAGGUGCCAAGCGUUGUAAACUUCUUUUGUCAAGGGACAAAAUCAGGCUCGAGAGCCUGACCGAUGGUACUUGAAGAAAAAGCAUCGGCUAACUCCGUGCCAGCAGCCGCGGUAAUACGGAGGAUGCGAGCGUUAUCCGGAUUUAUUGGGUUUAAAGGGUGCGUAGGCGGACUGUUAAGUCAGCGGGAAAAGCCCGGGGCUCAACCCCGGCGAGCCGUUGAAACUGGCUGGCUUGAGAGGGCGAGAGGUAUGCGGAAUGCGUAGUGUAGCGGUGAAAUGCUUAGAUAUUGCGAAGAACUCCGAUUGCGAAGGCAGCAUACCGGCGGCGAUCUGACGCUGAGGCACGAAAGCGUGGGUAUCGAACAGGAUUAGAUACCCCUGUAGUC
rnacentral:rRNA from 1 species